UGGUCAUGCAAAGGUCCUUCUAAUCUCCUACUUAUGAAUACUAAAAUUCAAGACAGACUUUGAGGACUAUCUGUUCUUUUGAUAAACAAGACCAUCCGGUGGGUAUUCCAAGAAUCACUGAUGACUUUGCUCAUCUCAAAGGUAAGGAGGAAGGUACAAGGGCACUCAAGCUGAAAAGCUGUGAAUUUUGUUAGAGAAGGUUUGAAGUUAUUUAUCUUUAAUAAUAAUAAUAAUUUAUUCUAAUAAAACUUUGUCAUGUCAGUUAAUACCUUAAAUAAAGAUGCACCUGUAAUGUAUAUCCAUUCUGAAGAUAUGUACUUCAUCUUUAUUUAAAUUUCUUCUUCUCAUAAUCAUGUUUCACCUCCAGUCAGAAUGCAUGUCAUUGGAUACUUGGUGUAUAAUCAAACUAAAUUGGGAGGCUCCCUCCAUGAAGCACCACUGCAAAGCAUGUCCACCGCUGCUGCUACAGCAUUUGCACAGCACAGUUGGCAUCCUGUACUUACUUGGUCAUCCUUCCCUGAUCUAUUUGGACUGUGAGCUUAGUACAAUGUGUUUGGGUCAUAUCCUGUGGUCACAAUGCUGGAGUACAAAAUAGGAGUGAGGAGACGUUUGACACAGCUGUCCAUAUACUCAGUGCCUUGCUCCCAGCAGCAGACAGCGUGGUGGGGCUGCACUGCUUGCCUGACCUCUGGCUGCCUCUGCCAUUGCAGCAGAGAUGGAGGGGCACGUGGAAUGGACUCCCUCAGAAGGUGGUGGACUUUCCUUCCUUGCAGGUUUUUAAACAGAGUUUGGAUGGACACCUGUCAUUGCUGCUUUAGUUGAGAUCCCUGCAAUGGAGGAUUCUGCAAUUCUAUUAUUCCUGCUGGUGCAUUUGCACUGUGCCAGUCUCUCUGCUGUUGCCACACCCUCACCUUUUCUAUCCAGGUGUGCUGCAGUGACUCAGUUGGUUUGAGGUCAGGUGAGCCCCAGAGCCCCAUCAUGUUGUCCACUGCUGGUUGCUCUCUGUCUUCAAUUUCCCCCAGCUCUUCUUCGACUAUCUCUCCAAGGCUUUCCAUUUUGCAAUUGCAGAGUGGAAUUUGUUGCAUCAGUACACUGCCUUGAAUGUUUUGCUCUACUAGUGAUCUGACUGUUUAUUAAAACAAAUCCCAGUCUCAGUGUUAGGUAACAUACUCCAUUAAGCCAUUAAGAAGGUGGGGUGGAGCUGAUGGGUGUGAUCAGCCCUUGAAGACAAACAGUCUCCUUCUCCAAGCUGGUGGAAGAUGAUCAAUGGCUUUUAGCCCAUUAAGAGACGUUUGCGCCACAUUAUCUGUGAGACAACCAGCAUGUUCAGAGACUAGUUAUACUAGACUAGGACUGGGAAAACCAGAGUUUGAAUGCAGCCAUGAAGCUCACUGGGUGACCUUUGACCAGGUACUCUUGUUCAUCCUAACAUACCUCAAUGGGCUUGCAGUGAGAUUAAAGUGGCGGUGUGGUUCAGGAGAGGGACCGUGUAUGGUUCUGUGAACAUCUUGAAGGCAGGUUAAGAUAUAAAUGAAAUAAAUACAUAACUAUUAAUGCUUUGGAUUUGCUACCUAAAUCUACUUGGAGUCAAUUUAGAAACAUGCAAAGGAUAAAUGUUUUAAUAAAUAUUUCAAUGUAUUCCUUUCCUUUCAGUACUGGCAGAUGUGGAAUUGCAAUAGCCACUAACCCUAGCAGGCUCAUUCCUCUGUUCCCCACAAUAUGGAGCAGAAAGUUCCCCAGAGAACUUGAGCGGACAAGAAUGUAAUUUGAUGCAGGGAGCUGACAGAGAACAAGGGUGUUCUGGUUGUGGAAACAGAUGGGAGGGGAUACUUUUGUUAAGCAUCUACUGUCUGUUUCCCGUGCUUGUGGGAUAGACUUUUCUCCCUCGUUAUCUGUGUAGUGUCCUCGUUGUGACACUCAGAAGAGCCCAGAUGGCUGAGUCUGAUUAAUCAGAGCUUUAGUUUUAAUCUGUAAUCAAACUAUAAAUCGGUCCAUCAGUCAGAUGAAUCGAUUUUAAAGCCUUCUGCUGUAGUAAGGGUUUGUUUGUUUUCUGCUGUCUAUUCUUUGGUGGUCAUCAACGGUGUAGCAAAGGGAUCCUGUUUUGCAUGAAGUGCCCCAGUUUUAAUGGGGAGGGGAAUGUGACGAUGGGUGUGACUGAUGUGAUGGUGUCUCAGGUCGGAACAGGUAUUACCAUACAUCAGUGGCACGGGGAGAGACCACAGGGGUGGUUGAGCCGGGUGCAAAAUUGUUAGGGGGCACAAAAUUUCAACACCCGGUACUGCCUCAAUACAGCUGUGCACUUCUGUCAGUGGGCUGCACUGAAAACAGCUUCUCCAUGUGAGCCAGAAAGUGACCUCUUCAGACAAUGAAAUGACUCUUCUUUUCUUAUCUCUGCAGCUGAGAUCUCCUGGGUGACAUGGAUGCCGUUAGGCAGUUGAAUGUGCAUGCAUACUGUGAUCUUGCACAGUGCCCCAAAAUGUGCAUUUUGGGGUGCUGUUCCCCCUCCCAAAAAAGUGUUUUGGGGGCUGCAACUUUGUAUGGGUCAUGUGACUCACAAGGGAAUGUGGCAUUGGAAGAUGGUGUCCCAGACUUGGGCCGGGUCAUCUUGGAAGGUAUGCUAUUACAUCCAGACAGAUCGGAGCAAUGUUUCUGUAUGACACACACUUUCCUCCUUGUGCUGGAUGAAAUGGAAAAUUUAAAGGUCGAAUUUCCUUCUUGCUGACCCAUAGCUAAGAGAUAUUCUUGAUUUCUACUAUUGCUACCCUUCUGUAGGAAGAACCCCAGGAAAUUAACGCUGGCAGUACUCAGUUAAUGAUGGGUAACUCUACCUGCGGAGAUUGAACUUGUUUUGGAAGCCAUGUUGGCACUGAAUGAUCCGUUACUCAUUACUGUAAUAGAAAAGAUUCUCUGUUUCAUAUUCCCAAAUUAAUGAAAAAUAAAAUAUUAAAGAUGAC